CAGAAAGCUGGUGAAGAUGUAGUUGAACGAGAGGCCAUGUCGCAGACCCAGCAAGCAGCAGAACUUGGCAGCUUUGCCCACAUGGUUCUGGCUUUAGAGCUAAGGAUAGAAGAAAGCAGUUAAGAUCCUGUGGUUAUGGUCGGCUGGAGCUGAAGAAACAACUGUGAUUAACAAGAUACAAGAACUACUGAAGCAAAAUUUUGCUUUGCUGGGACACUUGAUGCUGGUGGCUGGAGCUAAGAAGUCAACGGUGAUUAAUAAGAGACCAGAAUCUCUGAGUGAAAUCUUCUGGGAAGUGUUCCCUGAGUACAUAGAGAAGCUGUGUUCCAGAGAUGGCCAAGUUUGUACCUUGUGCCGCCAGUCAGACUUGGUAAUGUGUAAGCAUCACCCAGGUGGUACUGGUUUUGAGGUCAUGCAGAUCAGCUGAGGCUUGAUGCUCCGAGAGGCCAGGAGAAGCCAUUGGUGAAGGUGCAGCCCAGUGGCAGCUGAAGGCCCAGAGGUUUUGAGACGCCAGUACCAUGGGAUGGCCACCAAGAACGGCAGCAGCAGUGGAGUGGAGCCAACAGGAGCCUAGAAGACAGCUGUGUGUGCUGCAGAGGCGGAGAAGUGGCCCAGGCCCUUUGGAGGCAUUCAGAAGAUCAUGAGUGGUUCCCAGAAUGAAGCCCCAUUCAUUCUUCAAUCCAGGCCAGUUACAAUCCUCUCCUGGCCCCUGUGCUUCCUGCUUAUUUCACUACAAGAAAAAGGAUCUCAUCUUCUACAAAAAGAGGACUGAGGACUUGAGACCAAAACAUGUUUGAUUCCUAGAUGGCAAAAGAAGCAACAUUUAAAAAAUGAUCUCUGCAUAUGUGGAACUUUCAGCUAAGACAUGUAUUGUUUUUAUACAGAUGAAAUGACCAUCAACGUAAUUUAUCUUUCAAAAAGCUCUUUGUAGUAGAGAUUUGAUAUAUUCGUAGCUCUGUGAACCUAUAAAAGGUCAGUUCCAACCUGAGUGGCUGUUCCUGGCUUGGGAAGGAGAGCCGAGUCCUUGCUCACUGGUGAUUGGAGAUGCUGGAUGAGGAAACCUUCUGUCAAGCCUACAAGACUGGGGAGAUUGGCUGUUCUGAGAACCUCUUUUGUCACAUAUCCCAAGGCUUUAUAAUAAAUGGGUAAAAUAGAAAUGGAUAAUAAAAAUGGAUUAUAUGAACAUA